rnacentral:rRNA from 1 species
GGCGGCAUGCCUAACACAUGCAAGUCGAACGAAGGCUUCGGCCUUAGUGGCGCACGGGUGAGUAACGCGUGGGAAUCUGCCUAUCAGUGGGGAAUAACGACGGGAAACUGUCGCUAAUACCGCAUACGCCCUUCGGGGGAAAGAUUUAUCGCUGAUAGAUGAGCCCGCGUACGAUUAGCUAGUUGGUGAGGUAAUGGCUCACCAAGGCUACGAUCGUUAGCUGGUCUGAGAGGAUGAUCAGCCACACUGGGACUGAGACACGGCCCAGACUCCUACGGGAGGCAGCAGUGGGGAAUAUUGGACAAUGGGCGAAAGCCUGAUCCAGCAAUGCCGCGUGAGUGAUGAAGGCCUUAGGGUUGUAAAGCUCUUUCGGGUGGGACGAUGAUGACGGUACCACCAGAAGAAGCCCCGGCUAACUUCGUGCCAGCAGCCGCGGUAAUACGAAGGGGGCUAGCGUUGUUCGGAAUUACUGGGCGUAAAGCGCACGCAGGCGGCUCGAUAAAUUAGAAGUGAAAGCCCCGGGCUUAACCUGGGAAUUGCUUUUAAGACUGUCGAGCUAGAAUCCAGAAGA